rnacentral:rRNA from 1 species
AACGAACGCUGGCGGCAUGCCUAACACAUGCAAGUCGAACGGGAUCCUAGCUUGCUAGGUGAGAGUGGCGGACGGGUGAGUAACACGUGGGAAUCUGCCCUUUGGUCCGGGAUAACCGCGGGAAACUGCGGCUAAUACCGGAUGCCCUCGAGAGAGGAAAGAUUUAUCGCCAGGGGAGGAGCCCGCGUCCGAUUAGGGAGUUGGUGGGGUAAAGGCCUACCAAGCCGACGAUCGGUAGCUGGUCUGAGAGGAUGAUCAGCCACACUGGGACUGAGAUACGGCCCAGACUCCUACGGGAGGCAGCAGUGGGGAAUAUUGGACAAUGGGGGCAACCCUGAUCCAGCAAUGCCGCGUGAGUGAUGAAGGCCUUAGGGUUGUAAAGCUCUUUUGCCAGGGAAGAUGAUGACUGUACCUGGAGAAUAAGCCCCGGCUAACUUCGUGCCAGCAGCCGCCGCAGUAA